AUUAAAUAGAAAAUGAAUAUGUACCGUUCAUCGCAAUGCAAUCUGGGCCAUCCGUGCGCGUUUUUGAUCUAGGUCGUCCGUGCGCGGGAACGGAUCUCAGCCGUUCGAUCGCGCGCACGCGGAUCGCCCACGUGUCUCCCUUCUGCGUGGCCUCCUGUGUCAGCGUCUCUGCCAUGCGGCGCGUCCUGGUUGGCCGGGGCUGCUGACCGGGCAGCUGAC
rnacentral:lncRNA from 1 species